AAAACCUAGCCCAACUAAACUAUAAAUACAAAUUCAAACCUCAAAAUCCCACACAAUUUCAUAAACCCUAUUUACUUCAUAUCCUCUCCCUUUCCUCUCUCCUUGUCGUGAGCCCGACCGGGCAACACUCAGCCGAAGUUGAGCACCCCUCAGCCUUGCCCCUCGCGCCACUGCUACGCUCGACCAUCACCAUUCUCCGCACCCUGUUGUCCGUGGCCGACCGUCAAGAUGGCCGGAGCAGAUUGAUCGUGAAGGAUUGCCUUUAGAAGUUAAAGGAGCUCAAGUGUUACCGUUUAGUCUUUUAUGACUGUUGUACAGUUGUAAUAGAUCACUAAUAAUCGAGUUGUAAUAGUUUGAGUCUGUAAGCCUUAACACUUGACAAUAUGGUCAAGUGUGGCGGUGAUACCUCCGAUUUAGGUGUAAGCUUCCGCAAUAUUUUUAUAAAGUCUUAUAUAUUUCUUAUAUAUUUCUAGUUAGUAAA